rnacentral:lncRNA from 1 species
GAGGGAGGCAAGCUAGCCAGACAUGAACACCUAGAGAGAGGGGAGUGGGGAAUGGGGAGAGAGGGGGAAGGGGUGAGAGGACAGGGUGAGAGCAAAGGGCUAGAAUAAGAAGGAGAGAGAGCAAGGAGGGGGCAAGCAGCCCCUUUUAUAGUGAGUCAGGCACACCUGACUGUUGCCAGGUAACUGUGAGGCAGAGCCUAGACAAAAUGCUAACAGUGAUGAAGCACUCAAAAGGCUGAGGCAGGAGGACCAUGAAUUUGAGAUCAGUCUGUGCUAUGGAGUAGAGCCCAUUUUUUUUGGAGGGGCAGAGUUAAGUUGGCAGAAGCCUUCUCUGGAACUAUAAACCUGUGUUCUCACUCCAGAAGACUCUUUCUCUUCUACUGAUACCAUGCCGAAGAUUCUGCUCGUUCUUCUCUUUUUCUCAUUUUAAUAAAAUGUUUAUAUGACGUGCCACUCUAAACACUUGCAAUUGUCCCAUUCGGUGAGUGACACUAAGCACACUUACAUCGUUGUAGACCGUCCCCACGGUCCGUGCUUAGAACUUUGUCGUUCUCCAGAACUGAAACCCUGCCUUCAUUAAACCAUGCCUCCUUAUCCCCUCCUCCCAGCACCUGACCACCACAAUUCCAUUUUCUCUCUAUUUGCUGACUGUGUAUGGGGAUGCAUGGGGUGAUGCAGCAUUUGUCCUUCUGUGACAGGUUGGUCCUCUUCACGUGAUAUCUUCAAGAUGCAUCUGUUCUAGUGCAUGUCAGUUCCUUUCCAUCCUAAAGUCAACUCUUCCUCCAUUCUGCCCGGGUCACAUUCUCUUGUUGAUCGAUACACAUCUUGUUCAUUGAUACACGUCCCAUUGCCUUUAUGCCCUCAGCUGUGUGAAGGUCCUCAGGAGAUCUCUGUCGAACGUGUGAUAGCUCACUUUGAAUGAGCCUUCCCUAGUACAUAAGAAAGAAGAAGGGCACAGCCAGGGCUACACAGAGAAACCCUGUCUCGGAAAAAGAAGAAGAAGAAGAAGAAGGAGGAGGAGGAGGAGGAGGAGGAGGAGGAGGAAGGACAUCUUUAAGGGUUUCAGCAUGUUGCCUUGUCUGGAAGACUAAAAUGAAUAGGUGUGUCUGUUCAAUUGCUACUAAAUGAUAAUAUUUACUAGGUUUAUUGAGAAAUUACCACCUAGUACGCACUGUGUAAAAUGAGUUCAUUCAAACCAGUCUCGUCACAAUCCUAUGGGCUUGGUCCCAUUGCCCUCAGCCAUUUGCAGGGCAGUCACAGCCUAGAAAAGGAUUUUGAAUGUUCUUGCCAACAGACACUCCACCAGAGAGAUUAUAGCUGAGGAAACAUUGCCGUGUUGGCAAUGUAAGUUUCCCCAAAGCUCUCCUCAUUCAGCCAACCUUGACUUGGUCUUCACUUCUGUCCAUCUCAUUUCCGGCAACCCCCUGUCCUUACCUUUGCUCUCACAUCUGCAUUUCUACUUCUUCCUCCGCCUGCCAAGCAGGGCUUUUCUUGUCCCAACACACACUGUUCAAGCAGUGCCGUGGUCUCUCUUUCCCCGUGAAGCGUUUCCCUGUUCUCCAGAUCCUCCCACAUGUAGUAAAGGUUGUUUGGCACUAUUCAUCUGUGGGUGCAUACAAACUGUCACACUUGGCUCUUGGAAUGCCUGGGGUAUAGAUGUUGUGUGUUGUUUGUUCAAAUGCCUUCCAGAUUUGAUAAGUUUUGGAUUUUGGAAUAUUUGUAUUCUGUUCUGGCUUCCUUUCUGUUGCCGAGAUUAAAAACACUCUGACCAAAAGCAACUUGGGAAGAAAAGGAUUUAUAAGACUUACACUUCCGGGUCACAAUCCAUCAGGAAGGAAAGUUAGGGCAGGAAUUCAAGCAAGAACUUGAAGCAAGGUCCAUGAAGGAAUGCUGCUUGCUGACUCACUCACAGACUCGUGCUUAGCUAGCUUUCUUUUAUAGCCUAGGGCAAUCUGCCUAGAGAAUGGUGCCGCCCAUGGUGGACUGGGCCCUCCUACAUUAGGCAAGGCAGUCCAAACAACCCUUCAUGGACCAGCCUAAUAAAGACGAUUCCUCAACUGAGAUUCUUUUCUCACGUGAUAUGUACUGUGUCAGGUUGACACCUAAUGUAGCCUAGGACACAUACAUGCACAUCAUGAGAUAAUCAUGUCUUUCAGAUAAGACUCCAGGCUUAAUACUAAACUAGCUUGUUACAUGUACACCUUACACACACAGCCUGAAGGUAACUAACUCUGUGUUAUAUUUUUAAUGCACCUGUGCUUCAAGUUCAACCUGUCACUUGAGGUCAGAUGGAGAAUUUUCCACUGCAGUAUCGUGUAAGCAUCCAGAAAACCUUCAGAAUUCAUACCAUUUUAGGUUUGGAUUUGUGAAUUAGAAGUAAAGGACACAUGCUCCACUAUGUUCAUAACAGCCUUAUUUAUAAUAGCCAGGAGCUGGAAAGAACCCAGAUGUCCUUCAACAGAGGAAUGGAUACAGAAAAUGUGGUACAUUUACACAAUGGAGUACUACUCAGCUAUUAAAAACAAUGACUUCAUAAAAUUCUUAGGCAAAUGGAUGGAACUAGAAGAUACCAUCCUGAGAGAGGUAACCCAGUC